rnacentral:rRNA from 1 species
GAGUUUGAUCCUGGCUCAGAUUGAACGCUGGCGGCAGGCUUAACACAUGCAAGUCGAACGGUAACAUGAGUGCUUGCACUUGAUGACGAGUGGCGGACGGGUGAGUAAUGUAUGGGGAUCUGCCGAAUGGAGGGGGACAACAGUUGGAAACGACUGCUAAUACCGCAUAAAGUUGAGAGACCAAAGCAUGGGACCUUCGGGCCAUGCGCCAUUUGAUGAACCCAUAUGGGAUUAGCUAGUUGGUAGGGUAAUGGCUUACCAAGGCGACGAUCUCUAGCUGGUCUGAGAGGAUGACCAGCCACACUGGAACUGAGACACGGUCCAGACUCCUACGGGAGGCAGCAGUGGGGAAUAUUGCACAAUGGGGGGAACCCUGAUGCAGCCAUGCCGCGUGUAUGAAGAAGGCCUUCGGGUUGUAAAGUACUUUCGGUGAUGAGGAAGGUGGUGUAUCUAAUAGGUGCAUCAAUUGACGUUAAUUACAGAAGAAGCACCGGCUAACUCCGUGCCAGCAGCCGCGGUAAUACGGAGGGUGCGAGCGUUAAUCGGAAUGACUGGGCGUAAAGGGCAUGUAGGCGGAUAAUUAAGUUAGGUGUGAAAGCCCUGGGCUCAACCUAGGAAUUGCACUUAAAACUGGUGAUCUGGAGUACUGUAGAGGGAGGUAGAAUUCCACGUGUAGCGGUGAAAUGCGUAGAGAUGUGGAGGAAUACCGGUGGCGAAGGCGGCCUUCUGGACAGAUACUGACGCUGAGAUGCGAAAGCGUGGGGAGCAAACAGGAUUAGAUACCCUGGUAGUCCACGCUGUAAACGAUGUCGAUUUGGAGUUUAUUGCCUAGAGUGAUGGGCUCCGAAGCUAACGCGAUAAAUCGACCGCCUGGGGAGUACGGCCGCAAGGUUAAAACUCAAAUGAAUUGACGGGGGCCCGCACAAGCGGUGGAGCAUGUGGUUUAAUUCGAUGCAACGCGAAGAACCUUACCUGGUCUUGACAUCCACAGAAUCUUUCAGAGAUGAGGGAGUGCCUUCGGGAACUGUGAGACAGGUGCUGCAUGGCUGUCGUCAGCUCGUGUUGUGAAAUGUUGUGUUAAGUCCCGCAACGAGCGCAACCCUUAUCCUUUGUUGCCAGCGAUUAGGUCGGGAACUCAAAGGAGACUGCCGUUGAUAAAACGGAGGAAGGUGGGGACGACGUCAAGUCAUCAUGGCCCUUACGACCAGGGCUACACACGUGCUACAAUGGCGUAUACAAAGGGAGGCGA